UACGUAGGGGGCGAGCGUUGUCCGGAUUUAUUGGGCGUAAAGAGCGUGUAGGCGGCCAGGUAGGUCCGUUGUGAAAACUCGAGGCUCAACCUCGAGACGUCGAUGGAAACCAUCUGGCUAGAGUCCGGAAGAGGAGAGUGGAAUUCCUGGUGUAGCGGUGAAAUGCGCAGAUAUCAGGAAGAACACCUAUGGCGAAGGCAGCUCUCUGGGACGGUACUGACGCUGAGGAGCGAAAGCAUGGGGAGCGAACAGG
rnacentral:rRNA from 1 species